UACGUAGGGUGCGAGCGUUGUCCGGAAUUAUUGGGCGUAAAGAGCUUGUAGGCGGUUUGUCGCGUCUGCCGUGAAAAUUCGAGGCUCAACCUCGAACUUGCGGUGGGUACGGGCAGACUAGAGUGAUGUAGGGGAGACUGGAAUUCCUGGUGUAGCGGUGAAAUGCGCAGAUAUCAGGAGGAACACCAAUGGCGAAGGCAGAUCUCUGGGCAGUAACUGACGCUGAGGAGCGAAAGCGUGGGGAGCGAACAGG
rnacentral:rRNA from 1 species